rnacentral:rRNA from 1 species
UACGUAGGGUGCAAGCGUUGUCCGGAAUUAUUGGGCGUAAAGAGCUCGUAGGCGGUCUGUUGCGUCGGCUGUGAAAACCCGAGGCUCAACCUCGGGCCUGCAGCCGAUACGGGCAGACUAGAGUUCGGCAGGGGAGACUGGAAUUCCUGGUGUAGCGGUGAAAUGCGCAGAUAUCAGGAGGAACACCGGUGGCGAAGGCGGUUCUCUGGGCCUGUAACUGACGCUGGAGGAACGGAAAGCGUGGGGAGCAAACAGG